UCAACCACACUAUCAAUACAGAUGUGCAGUUGAGUAUAGAAGUAAUGCUUCCUCGGUAAAAUUCAUUGAGGACAAUCCCUUCACAAUCUAGAACUGGAAGAUUGGAUUUUCUGAAAACAUCGGAGAAAGACUGUCCUUGCCAUCCACACUACAGCAAAUCUUUGGAGACUUGAACUUUGGGUUCAUAAUCUCACAACUGAGAAGGGUCCCACCACACUCCUGGAACUGUGCACCCAUUGGAAACCUUAAGAAAUUCAACAUAUGAAACAGAAGUAAAGCAGAGCUUCUCUGGCUGAAGGAGGAGGAUUAAAGGUAUCAAGAGGAAGGGUUGAGGGCCACCUGCCAGCCCCUACUCAUUGGUCCUUAGUGGCUCAGCACUGCCUACUGCCUAGGGGAACAAAGGGCAUGGUGCUGGGUACUUAUAGGCACCAGAACAUUCCUGAGGACUCACACCACAGGGAAAGGGCUCUGUACUCAUUGCUCUUCAUCCCACUGCUGUGUGCUAUUGUCUUUGUGAUCUUCAUGAUUGGAUUUUGCUUCUUCAAGGAAGAUAUAAAAGAGCCCAAGUAAUUCUGGAAACCAGCAUUUUACCCUUGACCUCCUGCUUUUCAUCCUACUGGUCCUCGCCAGAAGUCGCUGGUUGCCUGGUAUAAGAAAACAAUCAUAAUUAUCUCAUUAAUACUUGGACCUGGCCUCCCUGCUAAUCAGGUUUGUACUGCUGAGAUUUCAAAGGAGAACAGAAAUCUACUAAGAAGAAAUAAAUUGGUUCUCAGGCUAUAAAUAGUUCUAGGAAGCUGCCCAGGGACAAAAAUUUGCCUGCUGGUGAAAUAAAAGACCAUGUAAACUGUAGAUUUAUUUGGAGAGUAUAGUUCCAUGAAUUUAACUGGUCUAGACUCUGGGCCUCUGGAAGGCAGAGACCAUGCUCUCAGCCUUGCCUUUAGUACCUUGUCUGUAACAGGCUAUCAGAUAUGUUGAUUGUGUCAAAGAUAAGCAAAUUCUGAAAUGAGUAAUUUUUUUCAUUCUCUAUCCUCUCUGAAUUCACUUAGUGCCUCUCAGAAUGUGUCUGAGUGGAAAGGGAUUUGCACAGGAUAUGUCCAAACAGGUUAUUGUAACUUUGGAGGUAAACUCUUGUCUAUCAUUCCAUGCACUUCAUUAUUAUUUAUAUCCAUUUCUUUCUUUCUUUCUUUGUUUAUUUAUUUAAGUAAUUGGUCAUGAAAUAGACUUGCAUGCUGAAUACUGAAAUGUGGUGUUUGACACUUGUAAAUUAUUCCAGAUUAUAUAUGAGACUAUAAUAGAUAAAAGUGAUUUAGAUAAUAAAGUGAUCUGUAAUUGAAGUAAAUGAGAGCUGGGUGCUGUGGCUAAUGCCUUGUACUCCCAGCACUUUGGAAGGCUGAGGCAGUAGG
rnacentral:lncRNA from 1 species